GACGAACGCUGGCGGCGUGCUUAACACAUGCAAGUCGAACGGUAAGGCCCUUCGGGGUACACGAGUGGCGAACGGGUGAGUAACACGUGGGUGAUCUGCCCUGCACUUCGGGAUAAGCCUGGGAAACUGGGUCUAAUACCGGAUAGGACCCUGGGAUGCAUGUCCUGGGGUGGAAAGCUUUUGCGGUGUGGGAUGGGCCUGCGGCCUAUCAGCUUGUUGGUGGGGUGAUGGCCUACCAAGGCGACGACGGGUAGCCGGCCUGAGAGGGUGACCGGACACACUGGGCCUGAGAUACGGCCCAGACUCCUACGGGAGGCAGCAGUGGGGAAUAUUGCACAAUGGGCGCAAGCCUGAUGCAGCGACGCCGCGUGAGGGAUGACGGCCUUCGGGUUGUAAACCUCUUACAGCACCGACGAAGCGCAAGUGACGGUAGGUGCAGAAGAAGGACCGGCCAACUACGUGCCAGCCGCCGCCGUAA
rnacentral:rRNA from 1 species